GAUGAACGCUGGCGGCGUGCCUAAUACAUGCAAGUCGCACGCGACGCCGGGGUGCUUGCACCCCGGUGGUCGAGUGGCGGACGGGUGAGUAACACGUAGGCAACCUGCCUCGCAGACCGGGAUAACCACGGGAAGCCGUGGCUAAUACCGGAUAACCCCCCCGGUGCCAUAAGGCGCCGGGUUGAAAGACGGUUUCGGCUGUCACUGCGGGAUGGGCCGGCGGCGCAUUAGCUGGUUGGCGGGGUCACGGCCCACCAAGGCGAACACGCGUAGCUGGUCUGAGAGGAUGACCAGCCACACUGGGACUGAGACACGGCCCAGACUCCUACGGGAGGCAGCAGUGGGGAAUAUUGGACAAUGGGCGCAAGCCUGAUCCAGCCACGCCGCGUGAGUGAUGAAGGCCUUCGGGUCGUAAAGCUCUGUGGGGAGGGACGAACCGCCGGAUGUUCAUAGCAUCCGGCAUGACGGUACCUCCUUAGCAAGCACCGGCUAACUUCGUGCCAGCCGCCGCCGUAAGAC
rnacentral:rRNA from 1 species